rnacentral:rRNA from 1 species
GAUGAACGCUGGCGGCGUGCCUAAUACAUGUAAGUCGAGCGAACGGACGAGAAGCUUGCUUCUCUGAUGUUAGCGGCGGACGGGUGAGUAACACGUGGAUAUCCUACCUAUAAGACUGGGAUAACUUCGGGAAACCGGAGCUAAUACCGGAUAAUAUUUUGAACCGCAUGGUUCAAAAGUGAAAGACGGUCUUGCUGUCACUUAUAGAUGGAUCCGCGCUGCAUUAGCUAGUUGGUAAGGUAACGGCUUACCAAGGCAACGAUGCAUAGCCGACCUGAGAGGGUGAUCGGCCACACUGGAACUGAGACACGGUCCAGACUCCUACGGGAGGCAGCAGUAGGGAAUCUUCCGCAAUGGGCGAAAGCCUGACGGAGCAACGCCGCGUGAGUGAUGAAGGUCUUCGGAUCGUAAAACUCUGUUAUUAGGGAAGAACAUAUGUGUAAGUAACUGUGCACAUCUUGACGGUACCUAAUCAGAAAGCCACGGCUAACUACGUG